AUAUAGUGUAGAGUGACUUAUAGGGAAAGGAAGGGAGCAUUAAAAACUUUAAAAUCUUAAAGCUUAAAUUAAGCUUUAAGAUUUCUUAAAGUUUAAAUUUAAGCUUUAAUUAAUAAUUCAGAGGAAAGAUAGUAUUCCGGGACCCGGGUCGAAGCUCUGCGGAUGCACGAGAAAUGAAAAGGAGUUGUUGACCCGCCCGAUUGUGUCUCAUCGCCAUUGAUGACUUGUCCGCUGCUAUACGAAUGUAAAAUGAAGUAAAGUGAAAAUGCGUUUAAAAAAAGUUUAAAGCUUUCCUCUUAGAAGUUUGUACCUUUGGUACAGUCUUUCUUUUUUUUUUGCGCUGUGUGUUUUACGGAAUUUUUUUAAGAGAACGAAAUGUUUAAUAUUGACUAACGGCGCCUUAAAGAUAAUCUAACAGGUUUUUUUGUAUACAUGCCUCUACUUUGGAAUGUUCUUCUCGGAUGUCUCAAUUCACGUAGUCCUCGUUCAGAAAUGAACAACCCUGAUCACUUGUGCGGCAACGAAGUGGAUAAGUUGCAGACGACACAAACAUAUUUUACAGUAAUCAAGACCUUUACUUUCUCAUGGAUAUUGUAAACAAAGAACUCAAAUCUGUCGCGAUCUGGUUUAAUGCCAAUAAACUAACUCUUCAUCCUGA